rnacentral:lncRNA from 1 species
UCAAGCGUAGCUCUGGAAAAGUAAUGGAUAAAUUAAACUAAAAAAUAAAAAUCUUUUUGGAUUAUUCAUUACAAUAACUUUUUUUUUUCAUUUUCAAAUACAAAAUAGCAAAUAUGAUAAUGAGAGACUCAACUUAACUAUACUACAACAAACUCCGACACCAACUAAAAAAAUCAUUACUACUGAACAUGACUAUAAAGUACAAGACAUCAUAAAAAAAACAGACUCAAAACAUAAAAAAUCUCCUUAAGCAACUCCUGAAUGCAACGGUCCUGACCAGAUGGUCCUGGGGUGAUCAUGCUCAAACUCUGAUAAGUAGUUCCGCACUUGUAUAAGAAAACUAAAACCAAAUAGAGUUAAGGAUUUAGAACACUACGUGAGACAAUAACACUCCCUAUUGGACACAUGCAAGACAUAAUUGUGCAAAAUAGCCUACAUGGCCAAAAGUCAGCUAGAAGUGCAAACUCAACAAAUGUGACCUCUAAGACAUAGAAAAAUUACUUUGCAGAAAUGACUGAUUUUGUAAAAAUGGCCUAUGUUGCCAGAAAAUGGCUAAGCAUUGCAAAUUCAACAGAAUGGACCUUAAAUAGAGAGGUCACCUUGUUGUGAACCUAGGACUCUAAGACAUGGGUCACUAAAAUACUUUUGCGAAAAUAGUCCUAUUUUGCAGAAUGGCCUAUAUGGUCAAAAGCGGCUAGACAUGCAAAUUCGACAAGGACGGACCUUAAAGUAAAUGGACACCUAAUUGUGGAUUGAAGACUCUCCAGACACUUUAAACAAACCACUUUGCAAAAAUAUCCCUAAUUUGCAAAAUGACCGAUGUGGCCAAAAGUGGCUAAACAUGCAAGAUUUGGCUACAACCCUCGACGCCAAGAACUUAAGACUCAUUAAGAAGAUCGAACCCUAUGUGGGUUGCCUACGUAUCCCGCCUCGAAAGACGAGAAUCAGGUAUGUGUAGUCGGGCAGAUUGGAUACAGGCGAGAAAUAAAAUUAACAAAUAAUUUAGAGAAAAUGUAUUCUUUGUCUUUUUUGAAAAAUGAUGAAACAUGUAAACUCUUUUUGGAUUAUUUUUCUUUUUUUAAUUCUUCUUUUUUUUUUGGAAAUUGAUGGAAAAGUGCAAAAUCUUUUGGAUUUUUCAUUUUUUGUCUUUUUCUUAAAACAAAAUGUGAAAGAAAACAUAACUGGGCUCUACUUGCUUUAUUUUUUUACACUUCAUCCCUUUUGUUUUUCUCAUUUACCCUCAAACCUCAUUGGUACGCCAAAUGACCCCUUUUACCCUUGAAGAUUGCAACAUGUAGCACAUUAGCAUGCAUCAGGAUGGUCUUUAUUUUUUGGAGUACACUUGUCAUAGACGGACCCAACUCCUGUGUUGAGUCCCCUAAGUCAAAUGCACGUCAUGAAAACAAACGUUCCUACUAGGGAUCCGGCAUGAGGCUAUGUUAUUCUAGGUUUAUAGCCUAGUGUAUUGUUAUAGACCUGGCUUACCCGAGCGGACAACUCGAGCUGGGGGGGGGGGGGCAGUGUACCGGAAAUACAGAAGCUUCACCGGCUUUGCAACUUGUCUGAAUCUCGUUCUAAAAUUGGGAUAUGACUCUAAUAGAAAAGAAGUCACACGAAAUGUACACUUCCCAGAUGAUUUAGAAGACUCAGAGAGAAAAGGGUUUCGUAACAAUUUAUAUACAGUCCAAGUAAUAUCAAAGCGGUAAAAAGCGACAUUUAGCACAAUAAGCUCAAACACGUAAAAAUCAGAUAAUAAAUAAAAGCCAAUUAUAACAAUUAUUCUAAGCUCGAAUUCUAAACCCUGAACCAAAAGUUCUGGGUUCUUGUCCCCAACAGAGUUGCCAGAGCUGUCACACCUCCUUUUACUACCAUGGAAAAGGUAUAGGGGAGUUUUUUCAUUUAAAGUAACAAUAAUCGAAACAGGAUUAUUUAUUCAAAUUCAGAGUCGCCACUUGGGAUAAUUUAUGGUGUCCCAAGUCACCAAUUUAAAAUUCCGAAUCGAGGAAGUUGACUCUUAUUUAUGGUCUGAGAACAUAGAAAUCCAGGUAAGAAAUUCUGUUAACUCGGGAGAAGGUGUUAGGCAUUCCCAGGUUCCGUGGUUUUAGAACGGUCGCUCAACUAUUUUUAUUAGCCUAAUUAUCUGAUUAAUUACAUAUUUUAUACCUAUUGCAUUUUUCACUUUCUUGUCGCUUUUUAAUGUUUUUUAGGAAAAUUCAUGAUCGUCUUACACUUGUUUGUUUUUUGAAAACAAAUCGUAAACCACACUACAUUAAAUGCACCCGUGGUUCACAAUAUAUUUAUUUUAUUUAACAAUGUUGGAAAGUCGGGUCACAUGAAAUGUACACCCGGAUUUGGGAAUUAUGUUUCACAACUACAUCACGGGAAUAAAUCCCGUAGCUAGAACACUUUAUUUAAUUAACGCGCAUAAAGCAAACUACGAGAAUUCAAUUCUACAUUAAUUAAGAUAAUUCAUAUGAGGGCCAUGGAUCAAGCAAUUCAAUUGUGUAAAUGGCACGCCUCAAUUUCCUUUAAAAGAAAUGCAUUCAAUUAAAUAAACUACGGAUACUCAUCAUUUAAAACUAAAUUGAAAUUACGUAUCACAACCACGCCGUGGGAACUAUACCCAUAGUUGUGAUAAUUUAAUUACGUGCCUAAAGCAAACUACGAGAUUCAUAUAUUCUUAAAACUAAUUCGAUAUUUAAUGACAGUCUGUGGAUUACCACGAAGGUAUUAAAAAUUAAUACAUGCUUUUAACCUUUCUGAUUCAUUGGGCCAAAUAGGAAGCCUGUCACAUUAUUUAGAGGGCGCCAACAAUGAAAGCUGUUGGGCUCGAAAUCCAGCCCAAAAUGAAAGAAACCAUAGACGAAGGCACUCCCAAGCCCGAUUUGGACCAGGCUACCCCAUUUGAAUCGGGUUGGGCCUAAAUAGCUCCCUGCUGGCCCAUAACAAAGGAAACCUUCAUUGAUUCCUAUAGCUUAUUUAUUUUAAUAAAGCAUUGUUGUGUUCCUUAGGCCCAAUGGCAACAAAAUGCCACUUUUAACUAGCUAAUUAAUGAAUAACAAAUUUACAAAAACAAACCCAAAAGGCAAUGAGUCAGUGAAAAGGUAUUGCACAGAUUGAAGCAUGGCAAAAUAACAAGUGAAGCAUGUGACUAACUUCAUAACAUCUCCCUUUUAUAUAGCAACACUCAUGCAUUAAUCAGAUAGCAAGAAAUAAACUUGAAUUAUUACAUUACCCAAUGAAUUUCUAUUCAAACAAAUUCAAACUUGAUUAGCAUACACUUAAUCAUUUUGGUAUCAUACUACUUAAGUCUUAACAGUUUAACAAUAUUACAGCUAAAGUAAAGUAAGCAAAACAUGAUCUUAUGACUAGCAGGACAUCAAUUUAAUCAAGAGCUUUAAAUCAAAUCCUUGAGAAAUAAAACUCAUAUGCUCAUGUAACAUCCCAGAAUAUCACGUGCAGUUCAUAUUUGGACAUCAUCCUUUAAUAAUCAUGUAAUCAAGCUAAGCUUCAAAAAUCCUUACAGAAUUUAAUCCUACAUAAAAUGGGAUAAUUACUCAUUUAAGGCUAAAGUCUAGCUUGUUAAAAUUAGAUAGAAAACAGAGUAAAGACAAAAACAAAAUUAGAAUCUAGAAGUCAAUCCACAUAUUCACAUGACAUUUGAGAAUGAGGCAACAAAUGUUCAAAGGCUUCAUGUAUACGAUUCAAUAGCCAAGAAGAUGUUCAACAUACAUACCUGUUACAGCAAAAUCAACCAAAAAUAGAAAUAAAUUUCUGAAAAUGAGACGGUGCUGCAGCCAAAACAGAAGCAACCAGUGUGAUUCAAAAUGAACUUCAGCUUUUAACCCAGGUAUCUAAAAAUAAGAACUGAUGCCUUCCUUUCUAUGAAUUCAGUGUAUUUAUCAUAAGAAUUAAACUUUUGAGGGGAUUCUGUAGCUUCAAUAUCUCAGCCAUUUUCUUUUUGGUGUCCUCAAUCUCUCCCCUAGACAUGAGGAAAAUAAGCCUCUUAUAGCAAGGCUUUAGGGCAGCAUAACCUGAGUUUUUAAAUUUACUUUUAACCCUCAAACUCUUUUUUAUUUUAC